GAACGGACGAGAAGCUUGCUUCUCUGAUGUUAGCGGCGGACGGGUGAGUAACACGUGGAUAACCUACCUAUAAGACUGGGAUAACUUCGGGAAACCGGAGCUAAUACCGGAUAAUAUUUUGAACCGCAUGGUUCAAAAGUGAAAGACGGUCUUGCUGUCACUUAUAGAUGGAUCCGCGCUGCAUUAGCUAGUUGGUAAGGUAACGGCUUACCAAGGCAACGAUGCAUAGCCGACCUGAGAGGGUGAUCGGCCACACUGGAACUGAGACACGGUCCAGACUCCUACGGGAGGCAGCAGUAGGGAAUCUUCCGCAAUGGGCGAAAGCCUGACGGGGCAACGCCGCGUGAGUGAUGAAGGUCUUCGGAUCGUAAAACUCUGUUAUUAGGGAAGAACAUAUGUGUAAGUAACUGUGCACAUCUUGACGGUACCUAAUCAGAAAGCCACGGCUAACUACGUGCCAGCAGCCGCGGUAAUACGUAGGUGGCAAGCGUUAUCCGGAAUUAUUGGGCGUAAAGCGCGCGUAGGCGGUUUUUUAAGUCUGAUGUGAAAGCCCACGGCUCAACCGUGGAGGGUCAUUGGAAACUGGAAAACUUGAGUGCAGAAGAGGAAAGUGGAAUUCCAUGUGUAGCGGUGAAAUGCGCAGAGAUAUGGAGGAACACCAGUGGCGAAGGCGACUUUCUGGUCUGUAACUGACGCUGAUGUGCGAAAGCGUGGGGAUCAAACAGG
rnacentral:rRNA from 1 species